rnacentral:lncRNA from 10 species
GAGCGGUAAGAGUGCGGCGGGACUUGGAAAUCGAAUCUGUGCUCUGUGAGAGAUCCUAGGAAAGGAAACUGGGAGCCCGGGAGAACUAAAAUUCCCAAUUAAAAGUGAAUUUAAAUCUGAGCUGUUCUUAGACCCAGAAUUUCUUGCCUGAAGGAGGAAUCAGGUCCCCACAAGGAAAGACCCUGCAACUGUAUAAAAAAAGAAUCUAAAAAGAUCAUGACUCCUUCAGUCCUUUCCCAAAGAGACCUAUGGAAAUUUCCUCAGGGAAGAGGGACCAAGCAAAACCCCAGAAGAGUUGAUCUCAAAGCUUAUUUUAUGAAGAAAAUUGACCUGAGUGACACAAAGGGUUGGACUGUAGUAGAUGUCACGUUUUGCUGCCUAGAUCUCCAUCCAGGGAUGAACUCUUAUUUCCUCAGCUUCUUUGUCUCCUCAGCUUCUGGGAGGGUUGGCAGCUGAUAUUCUCACCUGAGUCCCUUUCUAGGACUUGCCCUUGCCUGAAGAGAGCUGUGCUGCCCAACAUGAUGCCUCCUCCAAGGGACCCUGAAAGCUGUGUCUAUGAAGUUAUUACAAGAUAUUGGCUACUGUGGUGCAUGGAGCUUCUAGGCCAGGGUGAUUCUCACACCUGCCUGAUGUGGAUCUUGUUGCUUCACACCUGAAACAUCAUUUGAGAAGCCCGGGAAGUGGUGUGGCUGCUGCAUGGCUGCUCCAAGAACUACUCCCAUGGGAGAGGAGCUCCCAACAGUGCCUUGCCAUCAAGCUUUGAUUUCUACCUUACAUACCUCUGAAUAAACUGUUGCCAAUGAGGCUGAUGGAAGUCUUGUGAGUUUGAAUGCCAGGUUGAACUUAAGAGGAUUCCCUGGUGAGCAUUGCAAGAUGGUAUACUCAAUGUUAUUAAUUUGUGGGGAGUUUAAUAAAAGUAUUGUUUAUAUUGAUGUGGGAAGGGUAUAGGGAAAUUACAAGGUAUGGUGCAGUGUCCCAAGAAUAGUAACAUGGGGCACUGAAAAGAUAGAGAAAGGAAAAGAAUGAGUGACCAGAACCUGGUGACAGAGCCACAGGGGAGGGCUGUCUGGCUGGAGCUGUGACUUACCAUUGAAGGACUCAGGAAGUUCUUUUUUUUCUUUAGACAGGGUCUCGCUCCGUCAUCUAGGCUGUCAUGCAGUGGUGUGAUCAUGACUCACUGCACCCUCAGCACACACCACCAUACUGGGCUAAUUUCUGUAUUUUUAUAGACAGGUUCUCACCAGGUUGCCCAGUCUGAUCUCAAAAUCCUGGGCUCAAGCAAUCUUCCUGCCUUGGCCUCCCAAAGUGCUGGGAUUAUAGGCAUAAGCCACUGCACCCAGCCCUCAGGCAGUUUUUAUUAAUUCUGCAGGAAGGGAGCUGGGAGAAUAAAAAUCCCGACCUCAUUUUCUUUCCUUCUUUUGUUCUCUUGCUUGAGCUUCCCAUGGAUGAACUGGAAGAAUUCAGAAAUUGAAUGAUAUAAAUAACAAAGUUAAAUUAAUAGACAUGUAUUGAACUUAGUUUUUAGAGUAUGUAUAAUUUUCCCAAUUUUCUGUGGAAUUAUUGCAAAAUUUGAUCACAAACUAUAAGGCUACAAUUUAAAAAUAUAACAAAUUCCUAACUGUAAAAAUUUUCUAGGUUAAAUUCUUUGAUCACAAAGCAGGCAAGAAAUGAAUGGUGGAACAAACUAAAAUACUAGCUCCAUGAAUGAAAAGACCUACAUGGAUAUGAGAGUAAUUAAGAAGGAGUUAGCAGCGAUGGGACUUUGUGAUUGACUGGAUAUAGACAAUGAGGAAUAUAGUGAAGGAAAGAUGAUUUCCUGAUUUCUGGCAUGGGCAGCUGAGUAGAUGGUUAUGCUAUAAACUAAGAAAAGAGAGAAGGAUAGGAAGAGAUGGGCCUGGAAGAGUAUGGAGUUUGAGAUGAGAAGAGAAAAUGGAAACUCUGAGGAGCACAGAAAAUUAAGGCCCAAGUGAAGAAAGAUGAGCUUGCAGGGAAGACUGGGUGAUGACAAGCGGUGUAGGAGAGAAUCCGGGUACUCUGUUUUGCUGAAAUGAGAAAGACGGACAUACAGAUGCAUAUAAAGGCAUAUAGAGGCAGAUAUAUUUAUAUUUGAGGAAGUCUGGACAUUGAGUAAGUUAGUGCUGAUAACUUCUAGUUUCUUAGUUAAGAAAGAGAUGAGGUUAUCUAUACGGAGUAAGGAGGAACGUGGUGGUGCCGUUGCUACUACGGUGUAAUACGUCACUACUAUUACUAUUAAUUAUGGUGUAAUACCUAAAACGUAGUGGCUUGAAAUAACAAUAAUUAUCUUUUAUCUCUCACAGUUUCUCUGGGUCAGAAAUUUGAGGAUAAGGUGGUGAAUGAUUCUGGCUCAAGGUCUCCCAUAUUGUUGUGAUCAGUGGCUGGAGCCAGAACAGCAGAGGGCUUAGAGAAUCUAGGGAUUGGUCAGAUGUCGCUUUCGUUUUAUCUGGCUUUGAGACCUCUCCAAUGUGAGCUAAUUUAGGCUUCCUCAUAGCGUGGUAACCUCAAGGUAUGUGAACCGUGUAGCGGUUGACGCUUCCAAGAACAAGUAUUCUAGCAGGCAAGGUUCAUCUUUUAUGCUUUAGGCAUGGAAAUUACAUAGCGUCACUUUCCCUAAAAUGAGAAAGGAUAUAGCAUGUUUGGACAGUACGAACCAGUAUCACCUAAUUGACAUUAAUAGACCAUCCUAUCCAGCAAUGGCAGAAUACAUAUUUCAAGUGUAGAUGGAACAUUCACCAAGGCAGAUCAUAUUCUGGGCCAUGUACAAAAAAAACUGAGAAAUUUAAAAGGAUUAAAAUUACAGAAAGCAUGCUCUCUGACCACAGUGGAAUUAAGCUAGAAAUAGAAAACAAAAAAUUAUAUAGAAAAUCCCCAAAUAUUUGGAAAUUUUUUAUUUUUGAUUUUUUAAAAUUGUGUUUUUUAACCAAUGAAAAAUAAUUGUAUUAUCUGUGGAGUACAUAGUGUUGUUUCAAUACAUAUAAAGUAUAGUGAUCAGAUCAUGGAUAUUAGCAUAUCAGUCAUUCCAGACAUCUAUAAUUUUUGUGUAGGGAACCUUCAAUAUUAUCUUCCAGCUAUUUGAAACUACAUAAUAUAUUAUGGUUAAUUACAGUUUUUCUAUUGUGGUAUAGAAAUUAGAUAAUAUACUCUUUUAAAGUCCAUGGGACACAAUGAAAAAUAAUUAGAAAAAUUAGAACAUACUUUGAACUGAUUGAAAAUUAAAACACAACAUAUCAAAAUUUGUGAGAUGCAGCUAAAGCAGUACCUACUGAAAAAUGUAUGGGAUUAGAUACUUAAAAAGUAGAUGUUAAACCAAUGUCCUAAGCUUCUGCCUCAAGAAACUUAAAAAAAGAGCAAGCAAAGUAAAUCCAAAACAAGUAAGGGAACAAUAAAGAUAAGAUUAGAAAUCAAUAUAGUAGAAAAAAGGGAAUUAUAGAUACAACCAAAGAAACAAAAAAACUGGUGAUUUGAAAAUAGCAAUAAUAUUGAUAUAGGCCUCUGAUCAGACUCAUCAAGAACAAAAGAAAUAAUAUACACACUACCAACAUCAGGAAUGAAUUUGUAGGAACAUUCCUACAAAUCCUACAGACACUAAAAUACAAUAAGAAAAUAUUAUAAACAAUUUAUGCUUAUAAAUUUCAUUACCUAGGUGAAAAGUACAAAUUUUUUCAAUGAUUCAAACUGUCAAAGGUCACUCAAGAUGAAAUAGAUAACCUGAAUAGCCCUGUAUCUAUUAGAGUAAUUGCAUUCAUAGUUUAAGAUCUCCUUUCAAAUAAAUUCCAGACUAGAUGGCUUCUCUGGUGAAUUUUACCAGACAUUUAAGAAAGAAACAAUGUGGCCGGGCCCAGUGGCUCACAUCUGCAAUUCCAGCAUUUUGGGAGGCUGAGGCGGAUGGAUCGCC